CGGAUUUGCAGACCCAUUGAACAUGUUGAAUGGGUCUGGAUCCGUUCCGGCCGCCACACGGACGUUGCCCAUGUAUUGGGGACCGCAAAUUGCGGUCCCCAAUGCACGGAACGGAACCACAACAGCCGUGUGCAUGAGGCCUUAAAC